CAGAGGGUGCGAGCGUUGUCCGGAAUCACUGGGCGUAAAGGGCGCGUAGGCGGUUUUGUAAGUCGGGGGUGAAAUGCUGCGGCUCAACCGCAGCGCUGCCUCCGAGACUGCAAGACUGGAGCACGGUAGAGGCGGAUGGAAUUCCCGGUGUAGCGGUGGAAUGCGUAGAGAUCGGGAAGAACACCAAUGGCGAAGGCAGUCCGCUGGGCCGUUGCUGACGCUGAGGCGCGACAGCGUGGGGAGCAAACAGGAUUAGAUACCCUGGUAGUCCACGCCGUAAACGAUGGGCACUAGGCGUCGGGGGGAGCGACCCUCCCGGUGCCGUCGCUAACGCAGUAAGUGCCCCGCCUGGGGAGUACGGCCGCAAGGUUG
rnacentral:rRNA from 1 species